GACGAGCCUCACGAACGUUAUUCGGAAUUACUGGGCUUAAAGGGUGCGUAGGCGGCGCGAAAAGUUGGGUGUGAAAUACCUCGGCUCAACCGAGGAACUGCGCCCAAAACUAUCGUGCUCGAGGGAGAUAGAGGUGAGCGGAACUUACGGUGGAGCGGUGAAAUGCGUUGAUAUCGUAAGGAACACCCGUGGCGAAAGCGGCUCACUGGGUCUUCUCUGACGCUGAUGCACGAAAGCUAGGGGAGCAAACGGGAUUAGAUACCCCGGUAGUCCUAGCCGUAAACUAUGAGUACUGAAUUGGAGGGCCCUCCAUAGCCCUCCAGUUGAAGCGAAAGUGUUAAGUACUCCGCCUGGGGAGUAUGGUCGCAAGGCUG
rnacentral:rRNA from 1 species